GUAGUUACCUGGUGCUGGGGCCGCGUUGAUCACCGAGAACGAGCCCCCAGGGAGAAACACGGGCAUUGCAGUGCGCUAGCGUUGACCUCUGCCACUACCCCAAACUGGGCAGAUGGAUCAUGCAAAUUGCUUAAAUCCGGUUCAACGCAAGAGAAGGCGCCACCGCC
rnacentral:snRNA from 1 species